CUGCACUGACUCUUCCCUGGC
rnacentral:miRNA from 1 species